rnacentral:lncRNA from 1 species
GUACACAGCAUUUGCUAACAUCACCUGUGCACAGAGCAAUGGCUUUAUUCGUCUCACAGGGAGGCCACACAGUUAAUUUAGUUCAAGAAGUCUGAAGAACUUCUGACCAAGCAUGCAUUCUGUGUGAGACUGUCACCCUUCUUACCUUACUAGUUGUCUCUGAAACAAAUUGCUGGGUGUUUUGUUACAUACCUCUUUUAAUUCUCCAGAGCAAACAGAGAUACAACGGCUAUUCUUGCUAGAAUCCCUGGAAAUGGAGACUGUGCGACGUCAGCGUACCCUGGUUGAGCAAUUCUUCAGCUGUAUAGGAGGAGGCACGGAGGGCCGUUCUGGCGGGGAUGACGUCUUGCUCCCCUUCUCGGCAAACAAAGAAGAAGAAACAACCAACGCAGUGCUCGAGACGAAUGGAGUGAGGAUCCAGGAGGAUGGAUUUGCUCUUUGCAAUCAAAAAGGCUUCACGGCCCUCGAAGCCCUGUACCCGUGUCUGUAUCCACUAGAUCUCCUGAGUAACUCCCAGUAGGGUACACACAUCCUCAGUUAGGGCUGAUUUAAAGGGAGCGAUUUAACAAUGUAAUUGAAACGCUAUUACCUUAAGUCUCUUUUGAAAUUUUAUCCCUGUGUAGGCGAGGCACCCUUUUAAGUGUUCAGAGCUGCUCUUCCCACCCAUUUCUGAGCAGACUUAAACCAACAAAGCUGCUAACAGAAGCCUGAGGCUGAAUAUCAAGAUUAAUUUUUCCCCCAUAUGAAUGUAGAGUGCUAACUGAAUAACCCACCGCCCCAGAGAGUCCCAAUCCUGUCAGCCGUACUGCACGUGAUCACUUUUAAUGGAAGAAAUAAUAAUAAUAAUCAAAAAGGUACAGAGAUAUACCUGCAAUAAUUCACAAAUACUUGAAGGUGAAGGCCUCGGCGCAUUUCCAUCCCUGUGCGACCGCGGGGAGCCCGGGGACCUCAGGGCAUUUUGGUGACCCCACAACAACACCCCCCAAGUGGUAGUGAAGCAUUAAGGGCUGCAAGGAUGGUUAGAGAAAUGGAGUACGUCUCGAGUGAGGACAGGCUGAAAGAACCAGGCCUGUUUAGCCUGGGAAGGAGAAGGCUGAGGGGAGAGCUCGUUAAUGUGUUAAUGGUGUCGAGAGGAUGCAGCUGGUCUCUUGUCAGCAACAGGACGAGAGGCGAUGGGCACAAACUGAAGCACAGGAGGUUCUGGUGGAAUGGGUGUGGGCACUUCUUUACUGGGAGGUGACAGAGCAUCAAAAUGGGUUGUCCUGAGCAGUUUUGGAGUCUCCUUCUCCAGAGAUAUCCAAAAACCCACCCGGGCGCCAUCCUGGGCAUCUCUGUGUGACCCUGCUCGGCAUGGGCUUGGACUGCGUGGUCUCCUGGGGUCCCUUCCAACCUCAGGCACACUGUGAUUCUGUGAUUUUGUGCUUCUGUGAAAUGAUUAGAGCUUUAAGAUAAAUGUCCUGAGUGCUGCUUAAUAAAGAACGAGCCCUUAUGGAACA